GGGGUUGUGGCUCAGUGGCAAAGUGCUUGCCUAGCAUGUGGGAGCCCAGGAAGUUCCAAGGCAGGGGACACUGGGUUCGAUUCUCAGCACCACA
rnacentral:tRNA from 1 species